rnacentral:rRNA from 1 species
AUUGAACGCUGGCGGCAUGCCUUACACAUGCAAGUCGAACGGCAGCACGGGUGCUUGCACCUGGUGGCGAGUGGCGAACGGGUGAGUAAUACAUCGGAACAUGUCCUGUAGUGGGGGAUAGCCCGGCGAAAGCCGGAUUAAUACCGCAUACGAUCUACGGAUGAAAGCGGGGGACCUUCGGGCCUCGCGCUAUAGGGUUGGCCGAUGGCUGAUUAGCUAGUUGGUGGGGUAAAGGCCUACCAAGGCGACGAUCAGUAGCUGGUCUGAGAGGACGACCAGCCACACUGGAACUGAGACACGGCCCAGACUCCUACGGGAGGCAGCAGUGGGAAAUUUUGGACAAUGGGCGAAAGCCGAUCCAGCAAUGCCGCGUGUGUGAAGAAGGCCUUCGGGUUGUAAAGCACUUUUGUCCGGAAAGAAAUCCUUGGCCCUAAUACGGUCGGGGGAUGACGGUACCGGAAGAAUAAGCACCGGCUAACUACGUG